AACGAACGCUGGCGGCAUGCCUAACACAAGCAAGUCGAACGAGACCUUCGGGUCUAGUGGCGCACGGGUGCGUAACGCGUGGGAUCCUGCCCUUAGGUUCGGAAUAACUCCCCGAAAGGGGUGCUAAUACCGGAUAAUGUCUUCGGACCAAAGAUUUAUCGCCUUUGGAUGGGCCCGCGUUGGAUUAGCUAGUUGGUAGGGUAAAAGCCUACCAAGGCGACGAUCCAUAGCUGGUCUGAGAGGAUGAUCAGCCACACUGGGACUGAGACACGGCCCAGACUCCUACGGGAGGCAGCCGUGGGGAAUAUUGGACAAUGGGCGAAAGCCUGAUCCAGCAAUGCCGCGUGAGUGAUGAAGGCCUUAGGGUUGUAAAGCUCUUUUACCCGGGAUGAUAAUGACAGUACCGGGAGAAUAAGCUCCGGCUAACUCCGUG
rnacentral:rRNA from 1 species